GAAUCAUCCGUCAGAAAGCUCCAGGCUCAUCUCAGCAGCUUUUGCAUUUUUAUCUCAGCAAGGAACCUGUCCAAAUUUACUUUCUCCACCCUUCUUAUGUCCGAGGGCUUGGUUUCCUCAGCCAGUUUCUUGUCUGCUCAGGGGGAGAUUUUCCUGAGAAGAGCCACUGCCUUUCUACUGCUCAGCCAUGUUCUUGUUGCUUAUCUCAACACUGGGGAUAUUUGCCCUGCGAGACACUGGAGCCCAGUCCGUGACGCAGCCUGAUGUCCAUGUCACUGUCUCUGAAGGAGCCCCUCUGGAGCUGAGGUGCAACUAUUCCUAUAGUGGAACUCCUUAUCUCUUCUGGUACAUGCAGCACCCCAACCAAGGACUCCAGUUUCUACUGAAGUACUUUUCAGGAGACACCCUGGUUAAAGGCAUCAAAGGUUUUGAGGCUGAAUUUAAGAACCAUGAAACCACCUUCCACCUGAGGAAAUCCCGAGCCCUUGGCAGUGAUGCGGCCAAGUACUUCUGUGCUGUGCGUGACACAGUGUCUGGGACUGCAGGGGGAGCUGAACACAAACCACCAUGGAUGGAAAGGCAAAGAGAAUAUUAAAACAAUCUGAAGAAACAAUACUCCGUUCACCUGAGCAAGAUUUUAUGUGUCCCCUUCCAGUCAUCCUCUUCCUGACAAUGACUGCUCUUAUUGCUAUCACCGAAGAUUGAUUUUAACUGUUCUAGAACUUUAAAUCCGGGAAAUCAUAU